rnacentral:tRNA from 1 species
UGACCCGUGGUGUAACCGGUAGCACUGCUGAUUUUGGUUCAGCCGGUUCAGGUUCGAAUCCUGGCGGGUCAACGA